UAGAGUACAAAGGAGAUUGCAUUACCAGCAUAGCUUUUUGGUGUCCCUUGUCGGUCGUCUUGCUGGUGGUUUGGCUGUCUUUUGGAAUGACCCUCUCUCUGUUAGUGUGGAGGACUCCUCAGCCCACUAUAUUGACUUGAUCUGCUCUGGUCCCCAUGAUGGAAGCCCAAUGCGCCUCACUUGCAUCCAUGCCCCUACAUCCUUCCAGCAGAGACAUCAGUUAUGGAUAGUUUUUAAGCAUAUCAGUAGAGUUAUUACAAUGCCUUAGGUAUGCAUUCGAGACUUCAAUGAAAUACUAAACCACUGGGAAAAACUAGGUAAACGUUUCGCUCCUUCUUAUCGGUUGCGCUCUUUGAGGGACUUCUUAAACAAUUGCUCACUCAUGGAAGUAUAAUCUAAAGGCUGUGCCUAUACAUGGGUGAACAAUAGGGACGUUGACAAAUUGGUUAAGGAAAAACUUGACAGGGUAUUAUGCAAUAUGGACUGGAGGUUAACAUACCUAGUAGCUAAAGUGUUCGCCCUACCUGCCAUUGGCUUUGACCAUAGUUCGCUGAUUUUAUCGCUUGUGC
rnacentral:lncRNA from 1 species